rnacentral:rRNA from 1 species
GGACUACCGGGGUAUCUAAUCCUGCUUGCUACCCAGGCCUUCGUCCCUCAACGUCAGUUAUUACAUAGAAGGUUGCUUUCGCCAUUACCAGUCCUUAAGGUAUUAAAAAAUUUCAUCUCUACACCUUAAAUACUCACUUUCUCACAUAAAACUCUAGUAUAUCUGUACAUUUUUUAUGCUAGAAAUACCGUCUAGGUACCCUUUAAACCUAUUAAAGAUGAAUAACACUAGUCUUCCACGUCUUACCGCGGCUGCUGGCAC